rnacentral:rRNA from 1 species
UCGAACGAACCUUCGGGUUAGUGGCGGACGGGUGAGUAACGCGUGAGAAUCUGCCCUCAGGAGGGGGACAACAGCUGGAAACGGCUGCUAAUACCCCAUAUGCCGCGAGGUGAAAUGAAUUUCGCCUGAGGAUGAGCUCGCGUCUGAUUAGCUAGUUGGUGUAGGUAAUGGCUCACCAAGGCAUCGAUCAGUAGCUGGUCUGAGAGGAUGAUCAGCCACACUGGGACUGAGACACGGCCCAGACUCCUACGGGAGGCAGCAGUGGGGAAUUUUCCGCAAUGGGCGAAAGCCUGACGGAGCAACGCCGCGUGAGGGAUGAAGGCCUCUGGGCUGUAAACCUCUUUUAUCAAGGAAGAAGAUCUGACGGUACUUGGUGAAUAAGCCACGGCUAAUUCCGUGCCAGCAGCCGCGGUAAUACGGGAGUGGCAAGCGUUAUCCGGAAUUAUUGGGCGUAAAGCGUCCGCAGGCGGCCCUUCAAGUCUGCUGUUAAAAAGUGGAGCUUAACUCCAUCAUGGCAGUGGAAACUG